rnacentral:rRNA from 1 species
GAUGAACGCUGGCGGCGUGCUUAACACAUGCAAGUCGAACGAUGAAGCCCAGCUUGCUGGGUGGAUUAGUGGCGAACGGGUGAGUAACACGUGAGUAACCUGCCCUUGACUCUGGGAUAAGCCUGGGAAACUGGGUCUAAUACUUGAUAUGACUUCUCAUCGCAUGGUGGGGGGUGGAAAGAUUUAUUGGUCUUGUAUGGACUCGCGGCCUAUCAGCUUGUUGGUGAGGUAAUGGCUCACCAAGGCGACGACGGGUAGCCGGCCUGAGAGGGUGACCGGCCACACUGGGACUGAGACACGGCCCAGACUCCUACGGGAGGCAGCAGUGGGGAAUAUUGCACAAUGGGCGCAAGCCUGAUGCAGCGACGCCGCGUGAGGGAUGACGGCCUUCGGGUUGUAAACCUCUUUCAGUAGGGAAGAAGCGAGAGUGACGGUACCUGCAGAAGAAGCGCCGGCUAACUACGUG